CCUAACCCUAAAUCGCUCUUUCCCUGCCCCUCCUCCUGUGUGCGGCGCCGCUGCUGCGCACAUCUCAGGCGAGUGCUUCCAACCCAUCUCCUCUCCCUCCUCCACAUCUCCGGCCAAGGCGCUCACUUCUCUAGCCCUCCUCCACAUCUCCUCGCCUCCACCCAUCCACUUCCUGUCCUUUGGUUCUCCAAGACUGCAGUAUGGUGCUCGGCGGCUGCUACAACGGAGCUGAUGGUGCGCCAGCCGACCAGUUGAAUGGAGGCAGUAGCAAGGGGCAGCGGCAACAGCCUAUAGGGCGGAGGUUGAUUGGCAAGGUAAUGGAACUGCAAAUAGGAGUGGCAGCGGCAACCAUGAUGCAAGUGCAAGUGGUUCCCAAAGAUCUUGGAAAGGUUCAAUUAAAGUGAGAAUGAGGAUAAUGAUGGGGUGAGUGAGGACAAGGAAGAUGGUCCAUCAAUGCAAGAUCAGCAAGAGGCACAAAUGCAAGUGGAAAAAGAGACGCAAAUUCAAGUGGAAAUGGACACACCGCCAAACGAUGGCAAUUUGGAGACCCGUAGAUCUGUACGGCUUGUCAAGAAGAAGACCAAGGACGUCAACAACCUAUACUUGUUGCUUAGAAAUCUGCGGAAAUGCCACAUGAAGAACUAAGGAUAUCAAGAUGCUUUGGGAUGUAUGCAAGCUUGGAGCUGCUGUUUUAUAGAAAUGGCGUGUGUAGAAAUAGAAUAACCAAGGAUAUAAAGAAGCUUUUGGAUAUAGGCAAGCUUGGAGCUGCUGUUUCAAUGUCAUGCUUUAAUGGUUGUCUUUUGGAGCUGUUGUUUCUAUCUGUAACCCUUUUAAGUCUGUUGGCUGCACCGGACUAUUUAAAGUCUGAACUAUGCUGUGAUGGUUGAACUGAUGCUGGACUGUUAAGGGUUAUGUUGGAGGCAACUUUAUAACUAAUGUGUGCCUGUUAUGUUGGACAGAUGCAGUUUUAUUAAUCCCUAGAGCUUGUUUGAUGAAGUUUAUAUGAUCAA